AUGGAGGAUGCCGGAGGCCGGUGGCAGCAACCACAUAGCUCGGGAUCCAUUGGAUACAGCGACGGGUGUGAUCUGCACUGCAUUGGGCGGGGUGGCUCGAUGAAUCAUAUGCGGCCGGCGAACCGCGCGUUACGGACGGGCGUACUGCACAACAUGUCAGGGGUAGAGCUCCACUGUAAAACGACGCACGCCGGCGACAAUUCAGGCCGUAGUCGGAGGAGAUGCCCCCGGGCUGGGUGCACCUUGAUCCCAUGCAGGGCUGCUUCUCCAUGGCUCAAGAGCAUGGGGAAGGAUAGCUCACUGGCAGACGCGUGUGGGAGCCCAGAUCGAGGGAAUGAAGUGCUCCGAGAAGGAGCAGGCGGGACCAGCCAUGGAUCUACGAGAUCCCCGUUGGGGAGGCUCGGGAGAGGCACCCCCAUCGGCCGGUGA
rnacentral:rRNA from 1 species